rnacentral:rRNA from 1 species
UGGUUUGUCGCGUUGUUCGUGAAAUCUCACGGCUUAACUGUGAGCGUGCGGGCGAUACGGGCAGACUUGAGUACUGCAGGGGAGACUGGAAUUCCUGGUGUAGCGGUGGAAUGCGCAGAUAUCAGGAGGAACACCGGUGGCGAAGGCGGGUCUCUGGGCAGUAACUGACGCUGAGGAGCGAAAGCGUGGGGAGCGAACAGGAUUAGAUACCCUGGUAGUCCACGCCGCAAACGGUGGGUACUAGGUGUGGGUUUCCUUCCUUGGGAUCCGUGCCGUAGCUAACGCAUUAAGUACCCCGCCUGGGGAGUACGGCCGCAAGGCUAAAACUCAAAGAAAUUGACGGGGGCCCGCACAAGCGGCGGAGCAUGUGGAUUAAUUCGAUGCAACGCGAAGAACCUUACCUGGGUUUGACAUGCACAGGACGCCGGCAGAGAUGUCGGUUCCCUUGUGGCCUGUGUGCAGGUGGUGCAUGGCUGUCGUCAGCUCGUGUCGUGAGAUGUUGGGUUAAGUCCCGCAACGAGCGCAACCCUUGUCUCAUGUUGCCAGCGGGUAAUGCCGGGGACUCGUGAGAGACUGCCGGGGUCAACUCGGAGGAAGGUGGGGAUGACGUCAAGUCAUCAUGCCCCUUAUGUCCAGGGCUUCACACAUGCUACAAUGGCCGGUACAAAGGGCUGCGAUGCCGCGAGGUUAAGCGAAUCCUUUUAAAGCCGGUCUCAGUUCGGAUCGGGGUCUGCAACUCGACCCCGUGAAGUCGGAGUCGCUAGUAAUCGCAGAUCGGCAACG